UACGUAGGGACCGAGCGUUGUCCGGAUUCAUUGGGCGUAAAGAGCUCGUAGGCGGUCUGUCGCGUCGGAUGUGAAAGCCCGGGGCUUAACCCCGGGUCUGCAUUCGAUACGGGCAGACUAGAGUGUGGUAGGGGAGAUCGGAAUUCCUGGUGUAGCGGUGAAAUGCGCAGAUAUCAGGAGGAACACCGGUGGCGAAGGCGGAUCUCUGGGCCAUUACUGACGCUGAGGAGCGAAAGCGUGGGGAGCGAACAGG
rnacentral:rRNA from 1 species